UUAUUGUAUAUGUGCAAGUUCAGUUCAAAUUCAUUGAUCAUGGGUUCUGCAUCAAAACUCCUUAAUAACCUUCAAUUUUUCCUCUUAAAUCCCACUCACUCUCAUAAGAAACUGCACAUACCCAACACAAAGAGUGCAAAUCAUUAUCAUACUUCAUGGAUACGACCUAAUGGAUUAUGUUGAUGGCCCUUACCUUUCUUAUAUAAUCAAACUCACUAAAAUAUGAGGUGUAGACCAAAUAGGACAACUGAUGUAAUUCCAGACACAAUAAGUACUCAAAGAGGAUGCAGAAAGAAAAUUGUCUCAAAAAGGGAAGGAUACAAGUGUCCAAGAUGAGCUAGGGCCAAUAAGAAAUCAAAUCCAAUUGCCCCUUGGUCUGAUUACAAGAAGCCAUGCUAAGAAGUUCCAGGAUAUUUUCACUUUUUUUGUCAUAGAGUGGGUGAAUAACGAGAUCACCAUUAUAGCCCAAAAGAAGCUAUCUGGCCCAGAAGACCCACGGAUAGCAUGUGUCGUGCUUAUGACUUGCCUUCAGCACAUGUGCGGACCAUUACAUGUGUGAGAAAACUCACAUGUUGGAUCAUUUACCGCAUGAAGCCAAAUGAGGCACAUACGAGCAGUAGUGCCUGCAUGCUGCAACAUGUGUAUGCAUGUACACAGAUAGCCAGGCACAUGCGCUACCCAGGCGCAUAUGCAUACCCACCCAAACAUAUGCCCAGAUUUCUACAAGCAUAUGAGACUACCCC
rnacentral:lncRNA from 1 species